rnacentral:rRNA from 1 species
UGAGCAAUCUGCCCUUCUCAUCGGAAUAAGCGUUGGAAACGACGUCUAAUGCCGAAUACGACCUCCUUUCGCAUGAUCGGAGGUGGAAAGCUCCGGCGGAGAAGGAUGAGCUCGCGGCCUAUCAGCUAGUUGGUGUGGGUAAUGACCCACCAAGGCGACGACGGGUAGCCGGCCUGAGAGGGUGACCCGGCCACACUGGGACUGAGACACGGCCCAGACUCCGUACGGGAGCAG